CGGGUGAGUAACACGUAAGGAAUCUUCCUCUAAAUCCGGAAUAGCUCUGCUAACGCGGAAUUAAUGCUGGAUGUGGUCCUGUAACCGCAUGGUUGCUGGACUAAAGGUGACCUACUCGUCUGAGAGUUACCGUUUAGAGAUGACCUUGCGUCCCAUUAGCUAGUUGGCGGGGUAACGGCCCACCAAGGCUUCGAUGGGUAGCCGGCCUGAGAGGGUGACCGGCCACAUUGGGACUGAGAUACGGCCCAGACUCCUACGGGAGGCAGCAGUAGGGAAUUUUGCGCAAUGGGCGAAAGCCUGACGCAGCAACGCCGCGUGAGGGAUGAAGGUUCUCGGAUUGUAAACCUCUGUUGAGUGGGAAAACGUCGGAGGGUUAAUAACUCUUCGGCCUGACGGUACCAUUCGAGUAAGCCCCGGCUAACUACGUGCCAGCAGCCGCGGUAAUGCGUAGGGGGCUAGCGUUGUUCGGAAUUACUGGGCGUAAAGGGAGUGUAGGCGGGGAAGUAAGUCAGGAGUGUAAUCUAUGGGCUUAACCCGUAGUUUGCUUUUGACACUGCUUUUCUUGAGUAGUGGAGAGGGAGACGGAAUUCCAGGUGUAGCGGUGGAAUGCGUAGAGAUCUGGAAGAACACCAGUAGCGAAGGCGGUCUCCUGGUCACAUACUGACGCUGAGGCUCGAGAGCUAGGGGAGCAAACAGGAUUAGAUACCCUGGUAGUUCUAGCCGUAAACGAUGGACACUAGAUAUCGGGAGAUUCAUCUCUUUCGGUGUCGUAGCUAACGCGAUAAGUGUCCCGCCUGGGGAGUACGCUCGCAAGGGUGAAACUCAAAGGAAUUGACGGGGGCCCGCACAAGCGGUGGAGUAUGCGCUUUAAUUCGAUGCAACGCGAAGAACCUUACCUGGGCUUGACAUGGGAGUGUAAACCUCCAGAGAUGGGGGUCCUUCCUUCGGGAGCACUCUACACAGGUGCUGCAUGGUUGUCGUCAGCUCGUGUCGUGAGAUGUUGGGUUAAGUCCCGCAACGAGCGCAACCCUCGCCCUUAGUUGCCAUCAGGUAAUGCUGGGAACUCUAGGGGGACUGCCUGGUUUAACCAGGAGGAAGGUGGGGAUGACGUCAAAUCAUCAUGGCUCUUACGUCCAGGGCCAGACGCGUACUACAAUGGUCGGUACAGAAGGAUGCGAAGCCGCGAGGCAGAGCUAAUCCCCAAAACCGGCCUCAGUUCGGAUUGGAGUCUGCAAUUCGACUCCAUGAAGCUGGAAUCGCUAGUAAUCGCGGAUCAGCAUGCCGCGGUGAAUAUGUUCCCGGGCCUUGUACACACCGCCCGUCAAGCCACGAAAGAUGGGAGUACCCAAAGUCGCUUAUCUAACCGCAAGGAGGAUGGCGCCUAAGGUAAAACCAUUAAUUGGGGCUAAGUCGUAACAAGGUAGCUGUAUCGGAAGGUG
rnacentral:rRNA from 1 species